rnacentral:rRNA from 1 species
CCUACGGGUGGCUGCAGUGAGGAAUAUUGGUCAAUGGGCGCAAGCCUGAACCAGCCAAGUCGCGUGAGGGAUUACGGUCCUAUGGGUUGUAAACCUCUUUUGUCGGGGAGCAAGGCCCGCCACGUGUGGCGGGACGGAGAGUACCCGGAGAAAAAGCAUCGGCUAACUCCGUGCCAGCAGCCGCGGUAAUACGGAGGAUGCGAGCGUUAUCCGGAUUUAUUGGGUUUAAAGGGUGCGUAGGCGGGAGGUUAAGUCAGCGGUAAAAUGUCGGUGCUCAACACCGGCCUGCCGUUGAAACUGGUCGUCUUGAGUGAGCGAGAAGUAUGCGGAAUGCGUGGUGUAGCGGUGAAAUGCAGAGAUAUCACGCAGAACUCCGAUUGCGAAGGCAGCAUACCGGCGCUCAACUGACGCUGAGGCACGAAAGCGCGGGGAUCGAACAGGAUUAGAUACCCGUGUAGUC